AAGUCCACGCCGCCUCUGGCUCGCUUGGUGCAGGUCGGGAACGCCUCGAUCCGGAUCUGAGGGGCCGCUUACCGCCUUGCACCAACUGAAUCGGAGGCGGAAAGCGAUGGUCUCCCCUUUUAGCGCGGCUCCCGGCUGCUGGGUCUCGACGCUUGGAGCAAACACUUGUGCAGAGCGCAGAAAGCAUGCUGUUCACAAACAACUCAGCUCAUGUCAGUCCACAGAUUGUUCAAGAUCAGAUCUGUUUGAUCCAUGAAAACCAAGCUCGAAUUCAAUUUCAAACCAAACCUAACUGGAUAAGGAUUGCUCGAUUGCGGAAUUUAACACAGGGGCAGCGCAUGUUAACCGAGGAGUCCGCAAAGGAUGAACAAUGAGACGAUGAAAAGGGAGCCCCAGUUGUAGGAGCAUCAGGAUGAGUUAUUCCCAAGCUUCCGAAACAUUUUCAGGCUCAAACCACUUGGUUUAGAUCUUCAAUGUAGACAAGGUUUUGUAUACAAUCAUAGGAUCCUUAAUCACUGAUCAGUACAUCAUAAUGU